rnacentral:rRNA from 1 species
UUAGUCUUAUAAUUGAAGACUGGCAUGAAAGAGUUCACUAAAGAAAGUAGAUUUUUAAAUAAACCUUAAAUUUAAUCUUUUAGUAAAAAAGCUAAAAUGAAAAUAAAAGACAAGAAGACCCUGUAGAUCUUAACAUAAAUUAUAAUAAUAUUGAAAGUUAUGUUUUGCUGGGGCGGCAGAAAAAUGAAACAUUUUUAAUUUUAUAAAAGAUUUUUAUAACUGAAACUUUCAAAAAUAGAAUAAGAUACCUCAGGGAUAACAGCGUUAUUUAUUUUAAUAGUUCUUAUUGACAAAUAAGUUUGCGACCUCGAUGUUGAAUUAGAAAGUCUAUAUUCCGCAU